AAGAGAAUAUAUCUUUCAGUUUAUAAUACUUAACAUCUUAACUAUCACAAAUGCAGAGAAUAUCUGCCAAGCGCAAAUUCUCUGGUUUAUCAUCGACUAAGUUCCUCUUGCCAGUCUGCAGGGAUUGGACACUUACAUUUUUUCCUUAUGAGUGUGUGAUCUUUGUCCCUCAGUGUUUAACAUCACAUGGAACUGAGGAAUUACACCUUGAAACAGGAGUGUCAUUGUUCCACUUAAUGCAAACAACUGAACAAGGCAAAAGCAGUGACAAUUGUAAUGCAGGGUUCUCCCUCCACCCCCCGCACUCCAUGUGGGUAUUUGGGAACAGUGCUAUGGUGAAACCAUUGCACAGUAGCCUGUCAGCAGCAAUUUCACCUCCUUUUUGUCUGAGUGUGCUCCAAGUUUGGCAGCACACUAAAGACUGAAAAUGCAAGUAUCCCAUAUCUAUCCACCCAUACAGCCUCUUCUACCGGACCCAUCACAGACAUAUCUGGGAGCUUUUAUUCACAGGAAAUAGGCUGUCUAAGUGUGUCAAACAGCUUUUGGUGAGCCCAGAACAGACUGUACCAGAGCCUGUGAACAUAUAUACCAGAAGUCAUCAGACCCUGAGGUGGACUACAAGGAUGUUGAAAAUGGACAAUCAAGGGUAAGAAGAAGUAUCUCCAGAGGUUAGGUAG